rnacentral:rRNA from 1 species
CUAACUCCCCAUGGUCUCCGAUGAGGACAUCCGAAUUGGAGUAAAGCUUCGCGGACAUGGAUGGGGAUGCGUCUGAUUAGGUAGUAGGCGGGGUAACGGCCCACCUAGCCUACGAUCAGUAGGGGUUCUGAGAGGAAGGUCCCCCACAUUGGAACUGAGACACGGUCCAAACUCCUACGGGAGGCAGCAGUGAGGAAUAUUGGUCAAUGGACGCGAGUCUGAACCAGCCAAGUAGCGUGCAGGAUGACGGCCCUAUGGGUUGUAAACUGCUUUUGCGCGGGGAUAACACCCUCCACGUGCUGGAGGUCUGCAGGUACCGCGCGAAUAAGGACCGGCUAAUUCCGUGCCAGCAGCCGCGGUAAUACGGAAGGUCCGGGCGUUAUCCGGAUUUAUUGGGUUUAAAGGGAGCGUAGGCCGUGAGGUAAGCGUGUUGUGAAAUGUAGGCGCCCAACGUCUGCACUGCAGCGCGAACUGCCCCACUUGAGUGCGCGCAACGCCGGCGGAACUCGUCGUGUAGCGGUGAAAUGCUUAGAUAUGACGAAGAACCCCGAUUGCGAAGGCAGCUGGCGGGAGCGUAACUGACGCUGAAGCUCGAAAGCGCGGGUAUCGAACAGGAUUAGAUACCCUGGUAGUCCGCGCGG